rnacentral:rRNA from 1 species
GAUGAACGCUGGCGGCGUGCCUAAUACAUGCAAGUCGAGCGAACAGACGAGGAGCUUGCUCCUCUGACGUUAGCGGCGGACGGGUGAGUAACACGUGGAUAACCUACCUAUAAGACUGGGAUAACUUCGGGAAACCGGAGCUAAUACCGGAUAACAUGUUGAACCGCAUGGUUUAACAGUGAAAGACGGUCUUGCUGUCACUUAUAGGUGGAUCCGCGCCGCAUUAGCUAGUUGGUAAGGUAACGGCUUACCAAGGCAACGAUGCGUAGCCGACCUGAGAGGGUGAUCGGCCACACUGGAACUGAGACACGGUCCAGACUCCUACGGGAGGCAGCAGUAGGGAAUCUUCCGCAAUGGGCGAAAGCCUGACGGAGCAACGCCGCGUGAGUGAAGAAGGUCUUCGGAUCGUAAAACUCUGUUAUUAGGGAAGAACAAAUGUGUAAGUAACUAUGCACGUCUUGACGGUACCUAAUCAGAAAGCCACGGCUAACUACGUG